rnacentral:lncRNA from 1 species
CAGUUACAUACGGAUCAUGCACUUCCAGAAGUAGAAUGCACUUCCAUGUCCUGACCAGGGGAGAUAAAAUGACACCACCAAAAUAAAUCCUCGCCUACAAAGGGAUAAACAGGAAUUUGGGACGUGGAACUACACAGUAAGAGAAGGCCCCAAGUCAUGAUGAAGGCAUCGUACUGGCUGCCAAUUCCCAGGGGGGGUGACAGGAUUACUGGCAAGUCCUUCCAGCAGAUGAUGUGGAAUGUGGGCGACGGAACUGAAAAGCAGCUUGAAUCCUGUGGGAGUCGUGGGCGUGAGACCAGGUGUGGCAUCUAUUCAAGGUAGAACAACAACCCAGGACCAAACCCAGGAAUAAAGAAAUAAUUCUGGGAUUUUUCUUUUCUGUUUUACUUUCUUCUUUUGUUUUGUUUUUGUGGAACUGGGGGAUGGAACUCAGGGACUGGCACAUGCCAGGAAAGUGCUUUACCACCGAGCUCCACCCUGAACCAAGAAAUUAUUUCAGUAUUGGACACCACAAGAGUAAAAGAUGUCCUACAAGCAGCUGGUCUGUAAGUUAGAGAUGCUGUAGGGAGUAGUGUAAAUGGAAAUAUUUAUAAGCACCCUGAAAGAACAAUUAUUUAGCAAAGCCCUGUGUGUUUUUCUCCUUCCCUUCAUAAUAAACAACACUUUUUACUGCUAUUGUUGCAAUUUAGAAAGUUGCAGGGGGCAGGGGGCUGUGUUCCAAAUCAUCUACUAUGUCCCAUGGAUACUGAGAACCCAGCACCACCAUCUACUGAGUGCUCAGUAGGCCUCGAGGUCAUUGUCACCAACUGCAGCCAAACCACUAUUAGCGCUCACCAUGUGGCUUGUGGCCAGGUAUUCCAUGUGCAUCACACCGGUCCAGCUGCACAAUGACCCAUGAAAGGGUGACUGCUAUUUUUCUGUUUUACAGAUAAUGAGGCCGAAGCACAGGCUUUAAUUCACUUGCCUGAGAUGGUGAAGUUAGAAAGUGGUAGAACUGGUGUUAAAAAGCUCGUGUCUAUAAUUCAAGUGCCUGCUCUGAAUCAUCACAUCUGCAACGUAAUUAUCAAUCCAACCCAGGGGUAGGUGCAUAUCCUUCAGUCUGCAUCUGACCUAAGACCAGGGGAAAGAUGAAAUGUUCUCAUCACGGCCAGCUCCAAUGCAACUUCUUUUCUUUUGUAUCCCCCUCUUUUGUUUUUGAAACUUACUCUGUG